rnacentral:lncRNA from 1 species
AUAUACACACAAAUAUAGUAUAUCUAUAAGAGAGACAGGAAAUACUGGCUUUCUGUUUGUGAUGAAAUGCAAAUUCCUUAUGUAUUUUUCCAAAAUGUUUAAAAUGAGGCUUUUGUAAUCAGAAGUAUAUAAGCCCCCUUCCCCCAAAGAAAAUGAUUAUUCUACUGCCCGUCUUGACUGUAUUCUUACUUGGGGGCAGGGUGGGUGGCGUGAACAGGGAGAGCUAAUCUCUCCUUCUUUCUGACUCAUUCCACAGUCAAUCCUUUUUCUUAUUAUUUUCCAAAGGCAUGAGGACCUUCCAUGUUCCGAAACCAUUGUCCAGAGUAUUUCUUCUGGACUAUUUUCCACUUCCUUCCAUCUGACCGGCCAGCUGUUCUGCAUUUGUAAAAGCUGGUUUCUGAUGUCAUCUCUAGGCAGGACCGCUCCCUCCCUCUCCUGCACUCCUAUACUUCGUGGCAUAUCCGCCCCAAGAUAACACUUGUCACUCUGUUUUCCAAAUUCAGUUUCAUUCAUUUGCUUCACAUGUGCACUGAGCCCACUGACUUCUUUCCCUGUCUGUUGCCAGCACUGGAGACCAAGCCUGCACGCUUUGGCCCAGACCAUCUCAUUCACCUUUUAACACAGAAUCAGGCAAAAAAGUGAAUGAGAGGGGUGGAAAAAGGGUGGAGCCGGAGCUGAGAAGAAGAGUUAGCAUCACCACGGUCUUCCUCCAGGCCAUUCUCAAGCACAACCUGGGUGAGGCUCUGUCAUUGCUUAAUGGAUCAGCUGUAUAGUAACAGCAGAAGAUAAAACAUGGCUUCCAGAUCAGCUAAAGUAUCAACAAGAAUGAAAAUGACACUUCAAAGGAUUUAAGUGAAGAGAGUGUCGUGAAGAUUAUUUGUAGAGAUGUGGGAUCAGAUGAGAAACACCCUGGGACCAGAAACAGCAGAAGCCCUAAUGCCUGCCAAAGGGCAAGACCAGGGAUUUGAGAUUUCUAAAAACAACAACAACAACAACAACAACAACAACAAAACCCUAUACAAAUCUAAAUUAGUUAAAAAAAAAAAAACUAAAGUGGUUGGAUGGGAGCUAUGGCUUAGGAAGAGAAACACAGCCCAUCAAAGAGGGACUAGGGAUUUAAAUAACCCUCUCUUCUCUCUUCCUGUCCAUGCCUUCUGUUGGGUGAAACUAGCAGCCAGAAGGCAAGGGGGCCUGGGUGGAGAUGUCCAGUGGCAUUAGCCUCCCAGGUACAGAGAGAUGCAGAGAAAGAUGCAAAAUAGACCUGGAGUAGCUGAGAAUCAUCUUGUCAUUUGUCACCUAUUAGCCAGUUGCUUUGUCCAAGGCCUUGAGCCUCAGUUUUCUAUAGAGUGGGCAUCAAACUUGUCUACCUCUUGUCUGCCUCACAGGGCCAUGGGGAACAGCCAGUGAAAGUGUUAAAAUCAUUCGCUUGCCAUUUGACCCUCUUCUUCAUCUGCAUUAUCUCACUUAAUUCCUCAACAGCCGGGUAGGGUAUAAGGCAGAGAGGCCAGGGGACAAGGACAGGCAGGCACUUUGGAAUCAGAAGAAGAGGUCAUCAACUGUGGCUCAGCCAAGCUUUUUAACUGUGAGAUCAUGGGAAACUGAAGCUCUCUGAACCUCAGCUAUUGUCUUACUUUGAGCUCCCCCAAAAUCACAUCCUGAGACAAAUAUUUGAGUGCAAAUAGUUCAUUUGGGAGCUGAUCCCAGGAUGCACCAGGAGGGACUGGGCAGGGACUCAGAAAAGGGAAGAAACCCAAUUAUUGGUGUAUUCACAAGUGGGCAACUCGGUCUCAGUGCCACAACUGUGAUGAAGACUGUGCAGGACACAUCCUGGGGUUGGUGGAAUGCAGGGUGCGGGUGCUGGGGUGUUUAUUCACCACCUUCCAUCCCUCACUGGCUGAGGGUUGUUCUUGGAAGUUUUAACUCCCUGGCCAUUUCACACUGCCUGCUGUGGCCAGAGGAGACUCAAGCAGCCAGAGAGUGCCAUGGGGUGGAGACACACAGGAAGCCACAUAGAUGCCCUCCAGCAUGGGCCAGGAGGGAAUGUCUGGGGGACCGACAGCAUCCGUUUUGUUUUUCUAAUUUGUAUGCUAGAGAUGAUGUCUAUGUCACAGGACAGUGACAGAGAUGAAAUGAUUAAUGAUUAAAUGGCUAAAUGUCUUCCAAGUGCCUGGCUCAUAGUAGGUAUCCAAAGAAAAGGAGGCAUUCAUAGUAAAGAUGGGUAAAUAUUCAUGUGUUACAGAUGGAAGCAAAUGGGACUCAAAGAAGUUAAGACAUUUGCCCUAAAUCACACAGACAGUUCUUAAAUGGCCAAGUCAGAUCUGGCCCCAGUUUGUUCCCCUUCCACUCUGCCGUGGCUACCUCCUGUUAAUGGACUAUACAUUUAGAGUGCUUUUGCCUCAUAAAGUGUGUGAAGCUCCAUAAAUAUAAAAUGUUUGUAGUCCCAGCCUUGCUAGCUCAAAUCCAAGUUAAAUUGACUCUUGGGUAGUUCUUCUCUCAGCCCCAAUUCUCAUAAGCUCAAAUAUAUAUUUUCUUAGUCCCCUGGGAUCCUCCAUUCUGUGCCCCAACAAUCCCUAACCCUUCAUUAGUAAUGCCUAGAUGUCUCCACAUAUUUCAAGGGGUGCCAGAAAGUCUCCAGACAAAAUAAAAGAUGCCAUAAAACACCAAGUGCAUAAAACUCUAGACACCUUGUUCUCCAUGUCAUGUUUCCUUUUAAAAACAAAUAUUUUGAAAUGCCCUCUUUACUAUCCUGCUGAUACACACAUAAAAACUAAUAAAAUGCACAAACUCUUUUCUUAAAAAUUGUGGGAAGAUAUACAUAAUAAAAAAUUUACCAUUUUAACC